rnacentral:sRNA from 1 species
GCUGGGUAUAGUGGUGCAUGCCUGUAAUCUCAGCUACAUGGGAAGCUAAGGUAGGAAGAUCACAAGUUUGAGGUCAGCUUGGGCAACAUAGGGAGAGCCUGUCUCAA